rnacentral:rRNA from 1 species
AUGUUUCUAGUACGAACAGAUGGAUUCUCUUGUACUAGAGAAAAAGUAACAGAAUCAUCUUUAGCUUUUACUCAUCCUAGCACCCAGCAACAGAUGUUUAUGUGGAGAACUCCUCCCAAGACUGUCUUACUGUUGAAGAAAUUAGGUGAUGAGCUCAUGGAAGAGGCUAAAGAGGUUCAAGGAGAUGGUAUGAUAGUAGCAACACCAACUGACAGCACAGCAUACUCUACUGCAGCAGGGGAUUCAAUGGUACAUCUAAAUGUCCCAUGUAUGCUGUUCACUCCAAUCUGCCCAUACUCGCUGUCAUUUAGACCUGUCAUCCUUCCUGAUUCCGCACGGCUUGAAUUGAAGAUCCCGGAUGACGCGAGAAGCAAUGCAUGGGUGUCCUUCGACGGCAAAAGGCGGCAGCAGCUGUCGCGAGGAGACUCUCUUCAUAUAUCCAUGAGCAAGCACCUGCUCCCAACAGUCAACAAAUCGGACCGAACCGGCAACUGGUUCCGCAGCUUGAUCAGGUGCCUGAACUGGAAUGAGAGGCUGGACGAGAAGGCGCUCUAG